GACGAACGCUGGCGGCGUGCUUAACACAUGCCAGUCGAACGGAAAGGCCUGCUUUCCCUUGUGGAUUGCGGGUACUCGAGUGGCGAACGGGUGAGUAACACGUGAGUGAUCUGCCCCCAACUUGGGUAUAAGCCUGGGAAACUGGGUCUAAUUCCCGAUAGGACUGCAGGGUGGUGCCUGUGGUGGAAAACGAUUUUCUAGUGGUUGGGGAUGAGCUCGCGGCCUAUCAGCUUGUUGGUGGGGUAAUGGCCUACCAAGGCGGCGACGGGUAGCCGGCCUGAGAGGGUGGACGGCCACAGUGGGACUGAGAUACGGCCCAGACUCCUACGGGAGGCAGCAGUGGGGAAUAUUGCACAAUGGGCGGAGGCCUGAUGCAGCGACGCCGCGUGGGGGAUGACGGCCUUCGGGUUGUAAACUCCUUUCGACCGCGAGGAAGCCACCUGGUUGGAAGGGUGGUGACGGUAGUGGUAGAAGAAGCACCGGCUAACUACGUG
rnacentral:rRNA from 1 species